CCUACGGGAGGCAGCAGUGAGGAAUAUUGGUCAAUGGACGAGAGUCUGAACCAGCCAAGUAGCGUGAAGGAUGACUGCCCCAUGGGUUGUAAACUUCUUUUAUAUGGGAAUAAAAUGUUCCACGUGUGGGAUUUUGUAUGUACCAUAUGAAUAAGGAUCGGCUAACUCCGUGCCAGCAGCCGCGGUAAUACGGAGGAUCCGAGCGUUAUCCGGAUUUAUUGGGUUUAAAGGGAGCGUAGGUGGAUUGUUAAGUCAGUUGUGAAAGUUUGCGGCUCAACCGUAAAAUUGCAGUUGAAACCGGCAGUCUUGAGUACAGUAGAGGUGGGCGGAAUUCGUGGUGUAGCGGUGAAAUGCUUAGAUAUCACGAAGAACUCCGAUUGCGAAGGCAGUUCACUGGACUGCAACUGACACUGAGGCUCGAAAGUGUGGGUAUCAAACAGGAUUAGAUACCCCUGUAGUC
rnacentral:rRNA from 1 species